rnacentral:rRNA from 1 species
GUGGGGAAUUUUGGACAAUGGGCGCAAGCCUGAUCCAGCAAUGCCGCGUGCAGGAAGAAGGCCUUCGGGUUGUAAACUGCUUUUGUACGGAACGAAACGGUCCGGGUUAAUACCCUGGGCUAAUGACGGUACCGUAAGAAUAAGCACCGGCUAACUACGUGCCAGCAGCCGCGGUAAUACGUAGGGUGCAAGCGUUAAUCGGAAUUACUGGGCGUAAAGCGUGCGCAGGCGGUUUUGUAAGACAGGCGUGAAAUCCCCGGGCUCAACCUGGGAAUUGCGCUUGUGACUGCAAGGCUGGAGUGCGGCAGAGGGGGAUGGAAUUCCGCGUGUAGCAGUGAAAUGCGUAGAUAUGCGGAGGAACACCGAUGGCGAAGGCAAUCCCCUGGGCAUGCACUGACGCUCAUGCACGAAAGCGUGGGGAGCAAACAGGAUUAGAAACCCCUGUAGUCC